CUUGGCUUGGGCGUCAGAGCCUGGAGGCUGGGCUUGGACGUCAGAGCCUGGAGGCUGGGCUUGGACGUCAGAGCCUGGAGGCUGGGCUUGGGCAUCAGAGCCUGGAGGCUGGGCUUGGGCUUCAGAGCCUGGAGGCUUGGCUUGGGCUUCAGAGCCUGGAGGCUUGACUUGGACCUCAGGGACGUGAGACUUGACUUGGACUUGGACCUUCCUGACUGGAGGCUUGACUUGGAUCUCAGGGACUGGAGGCUUGACUUGGAUCUCAGGGACUGGAGGCUUGACUUGGAUCUCAGGGACUGGAGGCUUGACUUGGAUCUCAGGGACUUGAGGCUUGACUUGGAUCUCAGGGACUGGAGGCUUGACUUGGAUCUCAGGGACUGGAGGCUUGACUUGGAUCUCAGGGACUGAAGGCUUGACUUGGAUCUCAGGGACUGGAGGAUUGACUUGGAUCUCAGGGACUGGAGGCUUGACUUGGAUCUCAGGGACUUGAGACUUGACUUGGAUCUCAGAGUUGAGCUCUGCAUGAAGUUGCCUGUAGUAGUGGGUAAACGGCAGGGCAGGUUCGCCUUCCAGACUUACCCCCCUGAGAAGUUGUUCUAGCUCCUCCUUCCCCGGGACUCCCGAAUCGCAUCAUGAAUUCCCCCACAAACUGUUCUACACUGUCCAGGUUCCUACAGUGCUUAUCCAGUUUGAGCUGCACCCAUUGACGGGCCGGUUCAAAGAACCGGGACCACAUGAAUCGGAGCCAGUGCUUCUCCUUUGGAUUAGGGUCUGACAGGCUGGAGAAAUAGAAUUGACAAUCUACCAGGAAAUACUCUGGGGCACCGAAAAAUCCAUCAAAUGGAUCAGGAAGCUCCAUAAUUGUCCAUUGUGGGAAGUGGACUGAGUCCAUAGCAUGGACGGUUGGCGUCGACUUCCGGGUUAUGCGUCUCCUCCAUUCUCCUGCUGCAUCCAUGUUUCGGCGGAAGAUUCUGUCACAAAUCGUGAUGGAGCAGAGAUAAGGCGGAUGCAAGUGCAGGAUAACAGUUGUUUAUUUGUAGAGACAGGCAGGCAGACAAAUCCAAAACGUGAUCCAAAACGUAAUCCAUAAACAUGCAAGAGGUCAGGCAAUUGGCAAACAGGCAUACACGGGGCUAGGCAGGAAUCUAGGUCGAUAACCAAAACAAGACACGAACUAGAACGAGGGACUGGAAGCGGAGAAUCCAGCGCGAACUAACUUAUGACUAUGACUAUGACUAUGAUUAUGACGCGAACUAAACUGACGCUAAACAUUUACUUACUACUUACGACUUACUAAUCUUCCGCGUUGUGUGCUGGGAGACGCGCGGUAUAUAUGCCG
ensembl:lncRNA